rnacentral:lncRNA from 1 species
GUGGUGCAGGUGCAAAGGGGGACAUGGGGACAUGGGGACGCAGUGCCACCGUUGCCGUGGUAACACCGCAUCCCGUUGCCAUGGUAACGCCGUGUCCCUGUCCCCUUGUAGCGGUGUUGGAGGUCCUGGUGCAGAGCCAGACAUGGGGACAUGGGGACAUAGAGACACAGUGCCACCGUUGCCAUGGUAACGCCGCGUCCCCAUCCCCUUGUAGCGGUGUCGGAGGUGCAGAGCUGGACAUGGGGACAUAGGGACAUGGGGACACAGUGCCACCGUUGCCAUGGAAACGCCGCGUCCCCCAUCCCCCUGUAGCGGUGUUGGAGGUCCUGGUGCAGAGCCGGACAUGGGGACACGGGGACACUGUGCCACCGUUGCCAAUGGUAACGUUGCCUCCCGUUGCCAUGGUAACGCCGCGUCCCCAUCCCUUUGUAGCGGUGUCGGAGGUCCUGGUGCGGAGCGGCACGCGGGCGCUGCGGGACAACGUGGCGGACCUCCGAGCGCAGGUGGCCGCCAACCACAAGGGGGCGACGUUGCUGAGGGAGCUGGUGGCCGCCUACGGGCUGAGCGGCGUCACCGCGUACAUGGAGCACAUCCGGGUGGGUACCACGUGACCUGGGGGCACCGGCGGGCACGGAGGGGUCAUGAAGGGGUCAGCGAGGGGUCAUCUGGGGUCAUGAAGGGGUCAGUGAGGGGGUCAUGAAGGGGUCAAAAGAGGUCAGCGAGGGUCAACAAGGGGUCACUAAGGGGUCACUAGGGGUCAUCGGGGUCACCAAGGGGUCACUAAGGGGUCAUUAAAGGGUCAGUAGGGGUCAACAAGGGGUCAUGAAGGAGUCACUAGGGGUCAUCGGGGUCACCGAGGGGUCACUAAGGAGUCAUUAAAGGGUUAGUAGGGGUCACUAGGGGUCAUCGGGGUCACCGAGGGGUCACUAAGGGGUCAUUAAGAGGUCAGUAGGGGUCAACAAGGGGUCACGAAGGGGUCACUAGGGGUCAUCGGGGUCACCGAGAAUCACUAAGGGGUCAUUAAAGGGUCAGUAGGGGUCAACAAGGGGUCAUCUGGGGUCACCAAGGGGUCACUAGAGGUGAUUAAAGGGUUACUAGGGGCCACCAAGGGGUCAUUAAGGAGUCACUAGGGGUCAUCGGGGUCACUGAGGGGUCACUAGAGGUCAUUUAAGGGUCAGUAGGGGCCACCAAGGGGUCAUAAAGGGGUCACCAAGGGGUCACCAAGGGGUCAUCAGGGGUCAUCUGGAGUCAAAAGAGGCCAGUAAGAGGUCAUUAGAGGU